AACGAACGUUAGCGGCGCGCCUGACACAUGCAAGUCGUGCGAGAAAGGGCUUCGGCCCCGGUAAAGCGGCGCACGGGUGAGUAACACGUAGGUAAUCUGCCCUCUGGUGGUGGAUAACCUUCCGAAAGGAAGGCUAAUACAGCAUAAGACCACGGUUUCGCAAGAGACUGGGGUAAAAGCGGGCCUCUUCAUGAAAGCCCGCUCCAGGGGAUGAGCCUGCGGCCCAUCAGCUAGUUGGUAGGGUAAUGGCCUACCAAGGCGAAGACGGGUAGCUGGUCUGAGAGGAUGAUCAGCCACACUGGAACUGAGACACGGUCCAGACUCCUACGGGAGGCAGCAGUGGGGAAUCUUAGACAAUGGGCGCAAGCCUGAUCUAGCCAUGCCGCGUGAGCGAUGAAGGCCUUAGGGUUGUAAAGCUCUUUCGUGGGGGGAAGAUAAUGACGGUACCCCAAGAAGAAGCCCCGGCUAACUCCGUGCCAGCAGCCGCGGUAAU
rnacentral:rRNA from 1 species